UACAGAGGUCUCAAGCGUUGUUCGGAUUCAUUGGGCGUAAAGGGUGCGUAGGCGGCGCGGUAAGUCGGGGUGUGAAAUCUCGGAGCUUAACUCCGAAAACUGCAUUUCGAUACUGCCGUGCUUGAGGACUGGAGAGGAGACUGGAAUUUACGGUGUAGCGGUGAAAUGCGUAGAUAUCGUAAGGAAGACCAGUGGCGAAGGCGGGUCUCUGGA
rnacentral:rRNA from 1 species